rnacentral:pre_miRNA from 1 species
AUAUUACUCCCUCCGUCCGGAAAUACUUGUCAUCAAAAUGAAUAAAAAGGGAUGUAUCUAGAUGUAUUUUAGUUCUAGAUACAUCCCUUUUUGUCCAUUUUGAUGACAAGUAUUUUCGGACGGAGAGAGUAUCUU